AUGAAAAACUCAAACUUGUCGAACUCGUUUCCGGUGAGGGUUGGCCUCCGCCAGGGCUGCCCUUUGUCACCGAUUCUGUUCAUAAUUUUUAUGGACAGAAUUUCUAGGUGCAGUCAUGGUGUUGAGGGGAUCUGGUUUGGUGACCUCAGGAUCGCGUCUCUGCUUUUUGCGGAUGAUGUGGUCCUGUUGGCUUCAUCGGCCCGUGACCUCCAACUAUCACUGGAUCGGUUCGCCGCCGCCUGUGAAGCGGCUGGGAUGAGAAUCAGCACCUCCAAAUCCGAGGCCAUGGUUCUCGACCGGAAAAAGGUGGAGUGCCUUCUCCAGGUAAAGGAGGAGAUCCUGCCCCAAGUGGAGGAGUUUAAGUACCUCGGGGUCUUGUUCACGAGUGGGGGAAGAAUGGAGCGGGAGAUCGACAGGCGGAUCGGUGUGGCGUCCACAGUAAUGCGGACUCUGCACCGGUCCGUUGUGGUGAAGAGAGAGCUGAGCCGAAAGGCUGAAAUGAGCUUCCUCCGUAGGGUGGCUGGGCUCUCCCUUAGAGAGGGUGAGAAGCUCUGCCAUCCGGGAGGAGCUCGGAGUAGAGCCGCUGCUCCUCCACGUUGAGAGGAGCCAGAUGAGGUGGCUUGGGCAUCUAGUUAGGAUGCCCCCUGGAGGCCUCCCUGGUUAGGUGCAUGUCCCUCUGGUAGGAGGCCCCCCGGGAAGACCCAGGACAUGUUGGAGAGGCUACCACCGGACGAGCUGGAAGAAGUAGCUGGGGAGAGGGAAGUCUGGGCCUCUCUGCUUAGGCUGCUGCCCCCGCGACCUGACCCCGGAUAAGCGGUAGAGGAUGGUAUGGCAUGGUAUGGUAUGGAGGCUUUUUCAAACAUUCUGGGAAAAAUGACAUUCUGAACACUAAGCCUGUGUUUAGGUUGGAUGGGAGAGACGUUGCUGGGACACAUCAAAGUGGUGAGAAAAAACAUUUAUUGGGGAAAAAAAAGUGAGAAAUAAUGAAAUAAUAAAAGUGAGUCCAUAUUUUUGAGUAGUGUGCAGCGUUUUUUUAAAUGAUGGUCUAACUAUGCCUGAGCAGGUUCCCAUUACCCCAGUCCCACUCGCUUCACCAAUUCACUUUUACCUGAAGGUGAUUACUUGUGCCGUUGGGGACAAGAAUCUGUGUAGAUCUUUCUGGUGGUCUGACCUCAGGCAAGAUGAGUUUCUUCCCUUUGAAGUUGAGCACAUCUGAAAAGAGGCCCAUCUAGACUUGAGUGAUAGACUUGACACUGAUCAUCAUGUUCCUGUUGCUUUGUUGCUCACCACCUCACAUUUCUGCGCUUCUCAAUUCAGACAUCUCCAAUCAAUUUGUGUUGUGUUUGUAAUCACAACCAGCUGACCACAGAGGUGUGGUGUUUGGGCUACGUUGGUCUAAGGCCAUGCAGGAUUUGAGUCCCGCAUAGACAGGGAUCUGGACCAAACUAUUAGGUUCUGGAGUUGGAAAGUGCAAACAACAACCAACCCCUUUACCACAAAGGGGAAUCAAUAUAGGAGAUAUUCCUCUAUUCUGUUUUAAAUGAUUAAUUUAAAAAAACAUUUGGGAAGUAUAAUGUUGGUGCAGUGUGAACACAAUUGUCAACACUGAGUCCUGUUGUUUGACCUGUCAUUAGUCAAGUGCAGUGGAACAUGUGUCAUGAAAUGAUGAUUAAAAGCUUGAACAAUAACACCAUGGCUUAAACUCACCCAUAACCCUGGCAUUUGUGGUUGGAAAAAAGACUCACAGCAAUGGGAAAAAGACAACACAUUUGUUCUUAAAUUGAUUUUUUUCAUGUUAAUUUUAUGAAAAGGUUUGGGUCCUCUAUGUUGUCUCAUGCAUCCCUCUUUCUUUGUUUGUUCGGCUUAUUAAAGCUUGACAUUUAUUAGCCUGGUGUUCAUUUUCAUUAGGGCUUUUAGUUCCAUUAGCCUCUGAAGUUCCCCUUUUAUGUGUCUGAGAAUGUUUAUCUAGCUGUGCAGACUGGCGCAGACAGGGGCUGGCAGGGAGGAAGGCAUGAUUAAACACAGCAUGCCAAAAGUGGUCACUCAACAGACCAUCAGUGACAAGUGGUUCAGUCGGUGAUGUCAAAGUAAACCAUUUUGCUGUGAUACACCCCUCCUGUCGCCUCCAACCAUGUACACACACUGGCUGCAUUCACUAGUCUUCUAAUUGGUUAUUUGCCUAAAGGAUAUGAACUCAAGUGUCUGUGUUGUCUUGGCUGGGAAAGACAAAGAAAAUCGAGGGCUGCAGGUCACACUGGAGACCCCUCGGGGGAAUUUCUGAGCACUUCACAGGAUUAUUUAGAAUAACUUUCAUCUUAAUUGCCAUGGAUGGCAGCUUGCAGAGUGUUCUGACCUUUUGACCUCUUCCUCUUUUCUCUCGCUCUCUCCAAACUGUUUUCUUUUUUUGAUGGGGGGGGGGGUUCCAAAAUGUGAAGUGUCUUACAGAUCUG
rnacentral:lncRNA from 1 species